rnacentral:rRNA from 1 species
UAAUAGUGUAUAUUAAAGUUGUUGCAGUUAAAAAGCUCGUAGUUGAAUGUUGGUGUCGAACGAGCGGUCAGCUUCGGCUGUACUGCUCUCUCGACUCCUUCCUUCUGUGGACUACGUCGCACUUUACUGUGUGGCGCUAGGACGCAGAUCGUUUACUGUGAAAAAAUUAGAGUGUUCAAAGCAGGCCGUACGCUUGAAUACAUUAGCAUGGAAUAAUGGAAUAGGACGUCGGGCCUAUUUUGUUGGUUCUAGGACCGUCGUAAUGAUUGAUAGGGACAGUUGGGGCCGUUUAUAUUCCGUAGUCAGAGGUGAAAUUCUUGGAUUUACGGAAGAUAAACUACUGCGAAAGCAUUCGGCAAGGAUGUUUUCGUUAA